UACAGAGGGUGCAAGCGUUGUCCGGAAUCACUGGGCGUAAAGGGCGCGUAGGUGGCCUGAUAAGUAGGGGGUGAAAUCUCGUGGCUCAACUGCGAGGCUGCCUCCUAAACUGUCAGGCUUGAGCAGAGUAGAGGCAGGUGGAAUUCCCGGUGUAGCGGUGGAAUGCGUAGAGAUCGGGAAGAACAUCGGUGGCGAAGGCGGCCUGCUGGGCUCUUGCUGACACUGAGGCGCGACAGCGUGGGGAGCAAACAGG
rnacentral:rRNA from 1 species